UACGUAGGUGGCAAGCGUUGUCCGGAUUUACUGGGCGUAAAGCGCGCGCAGGCGGAUUGGUCAGUCUGAGGUGAAAGCUCCCGGCUUAACCGGGAGAGGUCCUUGGAUACUGCCAGUCUUGAGGCGUUCAGGGGAGAGUGGAAUUCCCGGUGUAGUGGUGGAAUGCGUAGAUAUCGGGAGGAACACCAGUGGCGAAAGCGACUCUCUGGGGACGUACUGACGCUGAGGCGCGAAAGCGUGGGGAGCAAACCGG
rnacentral:misc_RNA from 1 species